rnacentral:lncRNA from 1 species
CUUCAAAAGUGGGCAGAACUACAAAGUAGUAUUGAAAACUCAGGAUGGGGUGGAGGGGUAUUUCCCUUCCUCUGAAAUUCCUCCCCCAUAUAUGCAUACUGCUAAACCAUCCCUAGCAGGAAUUACUUUUAUCUCCAGCUCAUGAAGAAACUUCUGAAGAGCUUUCUGCUUUUGUCAUUGGAAAACACCACUUUGCGCAAAAUGGAAUAGAGGGCACCUACAUCUAAGUUGAAGUGGUUGAAAGAAAGUGAUCACCCUGUUGAAGAUCAUCAAGCUACCGAAGAUGUACGCAAAACUGCUAAAUUGCAUAUCCUGCAUAUCAGAUCUGAAGCUAGCAGGAGAAGAGAAAAAGGAAAAAGGCAGCCCUGAAAUAUCAAGGCAGCUAUAA